AUUGAACGCUGGCGGCAGGCCUAACACAUGAAAGUCGAGCGGUAGAGAGAAGCUUGCUUCUCUUGAGAGCGGCGGACGGGUGAGUAAUGCCUAGGAAUCUGCCUGGUAGUGGGGGAUAACGUUCGGAAACGGACGCUAAUACCGCAUACGUCCUACGGGAGAAAGCAGGGGACCUUCGGGCCUUGCGCUAUCAGAUGAGCCUAGGUCGGAUUAGCUAGUUGGUGAGGUAAUGGCUCACCAAGGCGACGAUCCGUAACUGGUCUGAGAGGAUGAUCAGUCACACUGGAACUGAGACACGGUCCAGACUCCUACGGGAGGCAGCAGUGGGGAAUAUUGGACAAUGGGCGAAAGCCUGAUCCAGCCAUGCCGCGUGUGUGAAGAAGGUCUUCGGAUUGUAAAGCACUUUAAGUUGGGAGGAAGGGCAUUAACCUAAUACGUUAGUGUUUUGACGUUACCGACAGAAUAAGCACCGGCUAACUCUGUGC
rnacentral:rRNA from 1 species